GGCAACGACCAUACCGCGUUGAAUAAUAUCGGUUCUCGUCCGAUCACCGAAGUUAAGCGACGUCGGGCGCGGUUAGUACUUGGAUGGCAUCAAAAGAAGACCAUCUGACCUAACUU
rnacentral:rRNA from 1 species